rnacentral:lncRNA from 1 species
AUGGAAGCUCCCAUGGGAACAGGAGCUCUUCCCAUGGAGCUCCUGGAUGUUGGCAGCCAACACAACCUGGAAUCUCAUGGAAUUUGGGGAAAAACAUUCCUAGAGGUCCAAGAGCAGGGAAAAAAGGGAAAAAAUUCCCUUCAUCUUUCACCUCCCCCUUCCAAGUGCAUGUCCCGGUUGCUUCCCGUCAUUCCAGGAGCUGUGGAAUCCUGGCGAGGGGCACCCAGAGCCCCGUUCCCAGAGUUUUUGGGAUGCUGGAUGUUUCUGGGAAGUUCUUUCCCUAUCCCAAGCUUAUAUCCCAAAACUUCUCCCUGGGAGCACCCCAGAGCUCCUUUUCCAAGAAAUCCUGGCGAGAAGCACCCAGAGCCCCAUUCCCAGAUUUUUUGGGAUGCUGGAUGCUCCUGGGGAGUUCUUUCCCUAUCCCAAGCUCGUAUCCCAAAGGGAAGUUCUGAUCCCAAAACUCCUUUUCCAAGGAAUCCUGGCGAGGGGCACCCAGAGCCCCAUUCCCGCGGCUGCUCCGGGCACAGACGUGACAUUCCCAGUCGGAGCCCGGCUGGAGAGGGGAAUAAAAAGAGGGGAAAAAAAAGAGGGAGAAAUCCUGCGGCUGGAUUGAAAGCCAGAGUUGUGCUGAUCUGGAAAAACACUUCCAGGGAUCGCUGCUCCCGACUCCCGCCAGAGAUUUCUUGGCUGGAAUUCUCCGUGGCUUGGCCGCCGCCCGAGCGCUCGGAAUAUUCGGGUGGAAGGGUAGGAAGUGCAGAGAAUUCCAUAAUGUCUGCUCCCAGCUCUCCCUCCCAGCCCUGGGUGCAGGAUCCCACCCUAUCCCUGGUUUUUUGGGGGAUUUUCCCUCUUUUUGGCCUCGUUUUCAAGAAAAUCCUGGCUUGGUUUGGGUCAUUCCAGCCCUGCUUCCAGAGGUUGCUCCGAGCUGGAUUUGAACAUUCCAGGGAUGGGGUGGCAAGAAAUCUGGGAAUCUAUGGUGCUUCCAAAAGGGAAGGGUUUGUUUGGGAUGGAAAUGGAAAACCGGGAAGAGUCGCCUGGAGAAAACUGGGAUCACAGUUUUCUUGGGAAUCUCCAGAGGGGAGCUGGAGAUCUCACGAGAGCUUAUGGAUACGUGCGGAUCCCGAACGGCUCCAUGGAAAAUUCUGGCUGAUCCAAGAACCAUGGGCAGGCGUCACCUGUAAACACCUCUUUAACAUCCCGAAAACCAGGAAAAAAUGA